UACAGAGGGUGCAAGCGUUAAUCGGAAUUACUGGGCGUAAAGCGCGCGUAGGUGGUUUGUUAAGUUGGAUGUGAAAUCCCCGGGCUCAACCUGGGAACUGCAUCCAAAACUGGCAAGCUAGAGUAUGGUAGAGGGUGGUGGAAUUUCCUGUGUAGCGGUGAAAUGCGUAGAUAUAGGAAGGAACACCAGUGGCGAAGGCGACCACUUGGACUGAUACUGACACUGAGGUGCGAAAGCGUGGGGAGCAAACAGG
rnacentral:rRNA from 1 species